CUUAGAGAGACAUUGGACUGCGGGGCACCUAAUGUGAGAGCCUCACAGCAGGAUGCUUUCAUUCACUCCUAUCCUGUCCUCUGUUACAUUUUUUCCUGUAUUUUCUUCCUCCAGUUGUUAUAGACAAUACUAUGUUAUUACUUUUCCUUUAGAUAAUCAGUUGUCUUUUAAAGAAUUCAAGCCACAAGAAAAGCAUCUUUUCUACAUUCCAACGUGCUUGCCAUUUCAAUGCUCUCAUGCCUCACUAUGCAUCUGGCUUUCCAUUGGCAUCAUUUCACUUCAACCUGAAGAAAUUCCUUUAAAGUUUCUUGUAAUGCAGCAAGCUGAUCCUGGAUUCUUUGAGCGUAUCACAGUAAAAACGGUGAAAGCCAAAGGCAAGGAGAAAUCUUGAAACAACAGGAGAAAAAGGAUGCAUCACUUAUAAGGGAAACCGCAAAGUGAUUGAUAGCUGACUUCUUACCAGAAAUGGUGGACUCCAGGAAGCAGUGAAACAGUGUAUUCAAAGUGUUUUAAAAAAAUGCUGUGAACCAGGAACCCCACGUCCAGCAGAGCUAUCUUUCCAAAAUGGAGGUAGACUCAGAGCCAAAGGAGAAGGAGAAAUGAUGCUUCCAGGGCUGGCUGGAGCAAUUCGGGAGACAGAAGGUCCUUUGGCCAUCGAGAUUUCUCUGGAUAUUUUAUGAGUAGUGGUGGACAGGGACAACUUGACGUUAGAAAUUACAGAGAAAGUUUGUCACAUGCAAGCUUGCUGCAAAGUCUCUGACAUGUGGUAAUCAUGACAACUGGAUUUCAUUUACUCUAAUACACUAUGAAAUGGCUACACCUGGACAGCAGGUGGAACUAACAGAAAUGGAUGUAACCACCAUUGAAUGGCUGAAAGAUGACUUCCAUCUCCCUUGAUACAGCGCACUCCAAGUAAGAUCCUUGUACAAGCUGCAUCAGUAUCACACCGUAGCUCAUUAGAAAGGUGGAUUUUUGAGCCCUAUCCCAGAUCUACUCAAUCAGAACCUUUGUAAAUAGACCCUUCCUAAAUCUGCAUUUUUAACAAUGUUCUCAGGUGUUUUCAUGCCUAUUAAAAUUUGGAGAGCACUGACUUAAUGCACAAAAUAAUCUAACCUGGAGAGAAGCAUUUUGCCAAUGAAGAAAGUGAGGCCCAUCUGAAUUUCCCAAAUUCACACAGUGAUUAGUUCUGUUCGGGAUUCAUGUCUGCUUACCACCCGCAUCUCCAAAACCAUAUGACUACCUUACCAGGAGCAGAGGCGCUAAAUCCCAGUAUAGGCAAGAAGUGUCCAUCAUUC
rnacentral:lncRNA from 1 species